rnacentral:tRNA from 1 species
GCCGAGGUCGCAUAACCUGGCAGUGCGCAGGAUUGCUAAUCCUGUUUCCGAAAGGAUAUCGGGGUUCAAAUCCCCGCCUCGGCG